GGGCUUGUGGUUUAGUGGUAUAAUACUCCCUUAGCAUGGGAGUGGUCCGUCAGUACUUCUCUUCCUUUGAUAAUAUUAGUUUGUCUUCUAACAAUUUCACAGAGGGUUCGAUUCCCUGCAAGUCCA
rnacentral:tRNA from 1 species